GAGGAGUGAUUCGGCACUGGCAGCAAUUAUUGCCUCACGCAAUUCGAUCUCGUUUUCAUGUUGCUUCUCGAAGAUGAGUCAGUUAAAGUGGCCCCAGUAAAAGAAAUUGAGAGGAUUCAAAUGCUGGUGAUCAUGCAGGAUACGGAAUAUUUGGACUAUUUGUUCCGAUUCAGCACUGGGGAAACUCUUCGUUCAGAUACAGGACAACACGCCCACCGUUAUACGCUGGUGCUCCAGCUUGAAGAAACCACAUAUCUUCCUAUUGUGAUAUAAAAGAACAAUAUGAAUUAUUACUUGUGCAUCAUUUUUGAUGAAUUUACUGUAACAACAAAAACCUAAAAAUAACAAACACUGGUGGAACAAUUUCAUAUAACAUACCUGAUUUCCAAA
rnacentral:lncRNA from 1 species